UACGGAGGGUGCAAGCGUUAUCCGGAUUCACUGGGCUUAAAGGGUGCGUAGGCGGCUUGGUAAGUCCGUGGUGAAAUCCACGAGCUUAACUUGGGAACUGCCGUGGAUACUAUCAGUCUUGAAUAUCGUGGAGGUAAGCGGAAUAUGUCAUGUAGCGGUGAAAUGCUUAGAUAUGACAUAGAACACCAAUGGCGUAGGCAGCUUACUAGUCGAGCAUUGACGCUGAGGCACGAAAGCGUGGGGAGCAAACAGG
rnacentral:rRNA from 1 species